UACGAAGGGGGCUAGCGUUGUUCGGAAUCACUGGGCGUAAAGGGCGCGUAGGCGGCUUUAUAAGUCGGGGGUGAAAGCCUGUGGCUCAACCACAGAAUUGCCUUCGAUACUGUAGAGCUUGAGACCGGAAGAGGUAAGUGGAACUGCGAGUGUAGAGGUGAAAUUCGUAGAUAUUCGCAAGAACACCAGUGGCGAAGGCGGCAUUCUGGACCGAUAUUGACGCUGAGGAGCGAAAGCCAGGGGAGCAAACGGG
rnacentral:rRNA from 1 species